UGGGGAAUAUUGCACAAUGGGCGCAAGCCUGAUGCAGCGACGCCGCGUGAGGGAUGAAGGCCUUCGGGUUGUAAACCUCUUUCAGUAGGGAAGAAGCGAAAGUGACGGUACCUGCAGAAGAAGCGCCGGCUAACUACGUGCCAGCAGCCGCGGUAAUACGUAGGGCGCAAGCGUUAUCCGGAAUUAUUGGGCGUAAAGAGCUCGUAGGCGGUUUGUCGCGUCUGCCGUGAAAGUCCGGGGCUUAACUCCGGAUCUGCGGUGGGUACGGGCAGACUUGAGUGAUGUAGGGGAGACUGGAAUUCCUGGUGUAGCGGUGAAAUGCGCAGAUAUCAGGAGGAACACCGAUGGCGAAGGCAGGUCUCUGGGCAUUAACUGACGCUGAGGAGCGAAAGCAUGGGGAGCGAACA
rnacentral:rRNA from 1 species